CGAGCGAAUGGAUUAAGAGCUUGCUCUUAUGAAGUUAGCGGCGGACGGGUGAGUAACACGUGGGUAACCUGCCCAUAAGACUGGGAUAACUCCGGGAAACCGGGGCUAAUACCGGAUAACAUUUUGAACCGCAUGGUUCGAAAUUGAAAGGCGGCUUCGGCUGUCACUUAUGGAUGGACCCGCGUCGCAUUAGCUAGUUGGUGAGGUAACGGCUCACCAAGGCAACGAUGCGUAGCCGACCUGAGAGGGUGAUCGGCCACACUGGGACUGAGACACGGCCCAGACUCCUACGGGAGGCAGCAGUAGGGAAUCUUCCGCAAUGGACGAAAGUCUGACGGAGCAACGCCGCGUGAGUGAUGAAGGCUUUCGGGUCGUAAAACUCUGUUGUUAGGGAAGAACAAGUGCUAGUUGAAUAAGCUGGCACCUUGACGGUACCUAACCAGAAAGCCACGGCUAACUACGUGCCAGCAGCCGCGGUAAUACGUAGGUGGCAAGCGUUAUCCGGAAUUAUUGGGCGUAAAGCGCGCGCAGGUGGUUUCUUAAGUCUGAUGUGAAAGCCCACGGCUCAACCGUGGAGGGUCAUUGGAAACUGGGAGACUUGAGUGCAGAAGAGGAAAGUGGAAUUCCAUGUGUAGCGGUGAAAUGCGUAGAGAUAUGGAGGAACACCAGUGGCGAAGGCGACUUUCUGGUCUGUAACUGACACUGAGGCGCGAAAGCGUGGGGAGCACACAGGAUUAGAUACCCUGGUAGUCCACGCCGUAAACGAUGAGUGCUAAGUGUUAGAGGGUUUCCGCCCUUUAGUGCUGAAGUUAACGCAUUAAGCACUCCGCCUGGCGAGUACAGCCGCGAGGCUGAGACUCAAAGGAAUUGACGGGCGCGCGCACCAGCGGUGGAGCAUGUGGUGUAGUUCAAAGCCACGCCAAGAACCUUACCAGGUCUUGGCAUCGUCUGAC
rnacentral:rRNA from 1 species